rnacentral:rRNA from 1 species
CGUGUAGGCGGUUGGAAAAGUCAGGUGUGAAAUUCUUCGGCUCAACCGGGGGACUGCGCCUGAAACUUUCCGACUGGAGUUCGGGAGGGGCAACUGGAAUUCCUGGUGUAACGGUGAAAUGUGUAGAUAUCAGGAGGAACACCCGUGGCGAAGGCGGGUUGCUGGACCGAAACUGACGCUGAGACGCGAAAAGCGUGGGUAGCAAACA